rnacentral:rRNA from 1 species
GCAUCGAUGAAGAACGCAGCGAAAUGCUAUAACUAAUGUGAAUUGCAGAAUUCAGUGAAUCAUCGAGUCUUUGAACGCACAUUGCGCCCUCUGGUAUUCCGGAGGGCAUGCCUGUCCGAGCGUCAUUGCUGCCCUCAAGCCCGGCUUGUGUGUUGGGCCCCGUCCCCCCCGCCGGGGGGACGGGCCCGAAAGGCAGCGGCGGCACCGCGUCCGGUCCUCGAGCGUAUGGGGCUUCGUCACCCGCUCUAGUAGGCCCGGCCGGCGCCAGCCGACCCCCAACCUUUAAUUAUCUCAGGUUGACCUCGGAUCAGGUAGGGAUACCCGCUGAACUUAAGCAUAUCAAUAAGCGGAGGAA